CCUACGGGGCGCAGCAGUAGGGAAUCUUCGGCAAUGGGGGCAACCCUGACCGAGCAACGCCGCGUGAGUGAAGAAGGUUUUCGGAUCGUAAAGCUCUGUUGUAAGAGAAGAACGGGUGUGAGAGUGGAAAGUUCACACUGUGACGGUAACUUACCAGAAAGGGACGGCUAACUACGUGCCAGCAGCCGCGGUAAUACGUAGGUCCCGAGCGUUAUCCGGAUUUAUUGGGCGUAAAGCGAGCGCAGGCGGUUGGAUAAGUCUGAAGUUAAAGGCUGGGGCGUAACCAAAGUAUGC
rnacentral:rRNA from 1 species